rnacentral:rRNA from 1 species
CGGUGGAGUAUGUGGUUAAUUCGAUGCAACGCGAAGAACUUACCUGGUCUUGACAUCCCGGAGACCCUUAGGAAACUAGGGGGUGGCUUCCAUCUGGAAGAAUCUGGAGACAGGUGCUGCAUGGCUGUCGUCAGCUCGUGUCGUGAGAUGUUGGGUUAAGUCCCGCAACGAGCGCAACCCUUGCCUUUAGUUGCCAGCAGUUCGGCUGGGCACUCUAAAGGGACUGCCGGUGUUAAACCGGAGGAAGGUGGGGAUGACGUCAAGUCCUCAUGGCCUUUAUGACCAGGGCUACACACGUACUACAAUGGCCGAUACAAAGGGCAGCGACACUGCGAGGUGAAGCCAAUCCCGUAAAAUCGGUCUCAGUCCGGAUUGGAGUCUGCAACUCGACUCCAUGAAGUUGGAAUCGCUAGUAAUCGUGGAUCAGCAUGCCACGGUGAAUACGUUCCCGGGCCUU